rnacentral:rRNA from 1 species
UACAGAGGGGGCCAGCGUUAUUCGGAAUUACUGGGCGUAAAGGGCUCGUAGGCGGCCAACUAAGUCAGACGUGAAAUCCCUCGGCUUAACCGGGGAACUGCGUCUGAUACUGGAUGGCUUGAGAUUGGGAGAGGGAUGCGGAAUUCCAGGUGUAGCGGUGAAAUGCGUAGAUAUCUGGAGGAACACCGGUGGCGAAGGCGGCAUCCUGGACCAACACUGACGCUGAGGAGCGAAAGCCAGGGGAGCAAACGGG